rnacentral:rRNA from 1 species
UUAAUGUCCAGGAGAGUGGCCCUCCGCAUGGAGGGUUGACUAGAGAUUUAUCGGUAUGGGAUGAGCUUGCGUCCGAUUAGCUAGUUGGCGGGGCAACGGCCCACCAAGGCGACUAUCGGUAGCCGGCCUGAGAGGGUGAUCGGCCACAUUGGGACUGAGAUACGGCCCAGACUCCUACGGGAGGCAGCAGUAGGGAAUAUUGCACAAUGGGGGAAACCCUGAUGCAGCAACGCCACGUGUGGGAAGAAGCAUUUCGGUGUGUAAACCACUGUCAUGAGGGAAUAAGGCCCGCCUCCGGGCGGGAUUGAAUGUACCUUGAGAGGAAGCACCGGCAAACUUCGUGCCAGCAGCCGCGGUAAUACGAGGGGUGCAAGCGUUGUUCGGAAUUACUGGGCGUAAAGGGAGCGUAGGCGGAGAUUCAAGCGGACUGUACAAUCCCGGGGCCCAACCCCGGCUCUGCAGUCCGAACUGGAUCUCUUGGAUAGUUCAGGGGCAGGCGGAAUUCCUGGUGUAGCGGUGGAAUGCGUAGAGAUCAGGAAGAACACCGAUGGCGAAGGCAGCCUGCUGGGGACUUAUCGACGCUGAGGCUCGAAAGUGCGGGUAGCAAACAGGAUUAGAUACCCUGGUAGUCCGCACCGUAAACAAUGCAUACUGGGUGUCCGGGGGUUCCCCCGGGUACCGUAGCCAACGCGUUAAGUAUGCCGCCUGGGGAGUACGUACGCAAGUAUGAAACUCAAAGGAAUUGACGGGGGCCCGCACAAGCGGUGGAGCAUGUGGUUUAAUUCGAAGCAACGCGCAGAACCUUACCAGGGUUUGACAUGG